CGACAUUUUGCGAAAACCACCUCCCCUUUCCUCCGACAAACAACACACUCCCCGCGCCAGAGCCAGAGCUCCCUUGCUCGUCUCCCCCUCGCCGGAGCUCCCCCGCACCAGAGCUCACCUCCUCUGCUCCCCCGCACAGCUCUCCCGCGCGUCGCUGGAGCUCCCUCUCCCCACGCCACCGCCGCGUUGCUUUCCCCUCCUCGUUCCUCUCAUCGUCCCCCAUGGCGAAUCACAGCGAGGAAGGCUUGAUUUUUUUUCGAUCUGCCAUCCGACGGCGUCCUUCCCCGAGGGCGGCGAGCCGGAGCUUCCCCUGCGCGUCGUCGACCACCUCCUCACUGGCUGGACGCCGUCGACCACGAACCCAGUAUUCUCCAAGCGCACGCCGCUGUGUGGGUCGCCGAGACGCCGAGGCCGAGGCGGAGCUCCAGGCCAUCGAGGUCGCGUACGCCGCCGAGUCCGGCAAGCGCCGCCAACUCCCCGACUGGUCCAAGGCACUCGCCCCCGCCUCCGUCUGCCCAUGGCCCAACCCAGUCCCCUCGCCCCCCUCUUGCCAAGUGGACUUCACAUUCCAAAGGAGGGACAGAAGAGCAGUCUACCUGACAAGGACAUGGCAUAGGUUGCAGACAAAUACUGUGAGCUAUCUCAGUUUAACUACGUAUUGCUUCAAAAUCUGGAGUAAUUGAUUAGUUCCAAAAUCUGGAGUAAUCUUCUCAAGUUACAUGAUCAGUUGUGCUUGACUGAAAAUUUUGACAGGAAAAUUUUGACUGGAGUAACAAAGGCAUAACAGUAGAAAUUACAGGCGAAUGUGGAUGUUGCACACUAUUGUGAAGGUGUAGCACUGCCCAAUUAAAUUUCCACUUCACAUAUCUACUUCCAUUUCUACUACAAAUUCACCUUUUCAACAGCAGACGCGGGGCAGAGAGGUCAGACGGCGAGGAGGAGCAGCAGCAUCAGACGGCGAGUAGGAGCAGAAGCAUUAGACGGCGAGGACUCGAUCGGGGGGCGUUGGCGUCGCCCAACAGCAGCAGCGUCAGAGGCUGGAGGGAAUCGCGGCGGCAUCAGAAGGAAGCGGCGGCCGGCGACUUGCCCAAAUCCCGCACUGGCGGUCGUGGGCACGAGGAAGUGGGCAGAGGAUGAGGGUGCGGGCCGCACCGGCUAGGGACGCGAGCAGGGCGACGAGGGAGGUGCCUUCAGCCGUGGAGGAGGCGCACGUCCAGUUGGUCGCCGCGGAGGAGCAGUCGCCUCCGUGUGGGCGGCGGCGCAGCUCGCCUUCGUGCGGGCGGCGCAGGUGGGCAGGGGCGCCGCAGAUUGGCAGCAGCGGCGCAGGUGGGCGGUGGCGCAGCGGCGACGCAGGUUGGCGGCAGCGCGCUGGGCUCUACGGUGGCUGUCGACGGCGCGCUGGGCUUGUUCCUGCCGCGGGCGUCCGGAGGAGGAAGAAGCAAAGGGGUAAUUAGCGGGAGAUUUAAAAUCCUAAGGGCUUUUUUGCAAAAAUCACAAUAAAACUACACCGUGGACAACUUUUCCCGGACGGAGGGAGUACUACUUAACCGCAUCGCUGGGGAGGGGAAGGCAUCCAGAGGAUCAGGCACCGGCGGCGCAACUACUUUCCCCUUUCCCCAUCUCGCAUGAACCCUAGCUGUACCUUGCAAUAGAGUUGUAAUCGCCACCUAAAUUCACACUCAUUCGAGAUUGUUGCUAAGUAAUUGAGAGGCUAGAUCGUCCCUA